rnacentral:rRNA from 1 species
UACGUAGGUGGCGAGCGUUGUCCGGAAUUACUGGGUGUAAAGGGCGUGCAGGCGGGAAUGUAAGUCAGAUGUGAAAACCCACGGCUUAACUGUGGGAUUGCAUCUGAAACUACGUUUCUUGAGUGCUGGAGAGGAAAGCGGAAUUCCCAGUGUAGCGGUGAAAUGCGUAGAUAUUGGGAGGAACACCAGUGGCGAAGGCGGCUUUCUGGACAGUAACUGACGCUGAGGCGCGAAAGCGUGGGGAG